AGUGAACGCUGGCGGUAGGCCUAACACAUGCGAGUCGAACGGCAGCACAGUAAGAGCUUGCUCUUACGGGUGGCGAGUGGCGGACGGGUGAGGAAUACAUCGGAAUCUACUUUUUCGUGGGGGAUAACGUAGGGAAACUUACGCUAAUACCGCAUAUGACCUACGGGUGAAAGCAGGGGAUCUUCGGACCUUGCGCGAUUGAAUGAGCCGAUGUCGGAUUAGCUAGUUGGCGGGGUAAAGGCCCACCAAGGCGACGAUCCGUAGCUGGUCUGAGAGGAUGAUCAGCCACACUGGAACUGAGACACGGUCCAGACUCCUACGGGAGGCAGCAGUGGGGAAUAUUGGACAAUGGGCGCAAGCCUGAUCCAGCCAUACCGCGUGGGUGAAGAAGGCCUUCGGGUUGUAAAGCCCUUUUGUUGGGAAAGAAAAGCAGCAGGUUAAUACCCCGCUGUUCUGACGGUACCCAAAGAAUAAGCACCGGCUAACUUCGUG
rnacentral:rRNA from 1 species